GUGUACUUAGCUCAAUGGUUAGAGUGUCUGCCUAGUGUUUGGAGGUUGCAGGUUCAAAUCCUGCAGUGUGCA
rnacentral:tRNA from 1 species